CCCCUCUCAGGAUCGCAACUGGAGAGCUUCCAGUACUCUACCAGUCUUGGCUAUCGGAGAGAGAGAGUCAAGCAGAGGUAAAACCAUUCCAUUCCAAGCUUGGACGGUGGCUAGUGAGUGGAAGGCAGUCUGCUACAAGG